GCCUUGGCUUAAAUUCUGGUCUUAAACUCACUAAAAUUUCUUAAAAAAUUUUCUCACGUAAGCUAGGAAAAAAUGUAAGUUCGUCGUUUCAAUAAACACGUAUUCUAGCUUAAAUUUUCUUACUUUUAUUUCUGAACUUAGUAUAAGUUCGAAUCAUAAGAUCAGAUUUUUCAAGCAUAGAAUUUUUUAUUUUCUUAGAGGGCGGGGCGUAUCGCAGCCAAUAAGAUAAGUCGUUUCAUGACAUUGCGUACAAUAAUAGAUGCUGUUUAGUUUCAUAAGGAAAUUUACAAAGUCUGCUAGAAUUUUGUUUGAAAGUAAACAAGACUUUUGUAUGCAAAUUAAUAGGAAUUUGAACUUUUAAUUAGUGUUUUAUUGUCCCAGUGAACGAUUUGCGUGCAUUAUUGCCCCAGCAGCAAAAGAAAAAGCUGUCAUGACAAAUUUAUUUAGUUGCAGAAUGUAUCGAAAGAUAGAACCAUGUUUUCUUCUUGUCUUGAAGCUGGAUACCAAUUAAAGUGAUGGUAUCACAGCAUAUUAAUUGCUAACACAAGUAUUGCUGAAUCUAUGCGAAGGGUGACAAGACAGGUAUUCCAGCAUUACGUUAACUUAUUUUUUUAGUAGGUGGUGGCUCACAGAAAGGUGAAACUAAGGCCAUUGCAUUUCAAAAUGUUUAUCGCUCCAUGGCAAAACAAAAGCUGGCUCUUCAAGACAGUUCAAAAAUCUAAGAUUAAGUGACGCAGUGAAAUUUCAAGUUGAUAGUUGUAGGCUAUGUAAAAAAGAUGUAUUUUAAUAAACCAUAACACAUAACUAACAUGAAAUUGAUUUACUUUAAUUAUUUUGGCACUUUGCAAACUUUGUUAUAUAGUUAGAGUUAGAAGUUACGAGCAAUGUUUAGGGAAAUAUAGGGAAUUAACACUUGAAAAUACUAAAAACUAGAACAACAAUAGCUGUAAGCAAUAGCUUUAGCACGGAAUUGUAAGAAAAUAACCGCUGUAAUCCAACAAAUA